AUUGAACGCUGGCGGCAUGCCUUACACAUGCAAGUCGAACGGCAGCACGGGGCAACCUGGUGGCGAGUGGCGAACGGGUGAGUAAUGCAUCGGAACGUGCCAUUGAGUGGGGGAUAACGUAGCGAAAGUUGCGCUAAUACCGCAUAUUCUGUGAGCAGGAAAGCAGGGGACCGCAAGGCCUUGCGCUCUUUGAGCGGCCGAUGUCAGAUUAGCUAGUUGGUGAGGUAACGGCUUACCAAGGCGACGAUCUGUAGCGGGUCUGAGAGGAUGAUCCGCCACACUGGAACUGAGACACGGUCCAGACUCCUACGGGAGGCAGCAGUGGGGAAUUUUGGACAAUGGGCGAAAGCCUGAUCCAGCCAUGCCGCGUGAGUGAAGAAGGCCUCGGUU
rnacentral:rRNA from 1 species